rnacentral:rRNA from 1 species
UACGUAGGGGGCAAGCGUUGUCCGGAUUUAUUGGGCGUAAAGCGCGUGUAGGUGGCCAAGUAGGUCCGCUGUGAAAACUUGAGGCUCAACCUCAAGCUGUCGGUGGAAACCACUUGGCUAGAGUCCGGAAGAGGAGAGUGGAAUUCCUGGUGUAGCGGUGAAAUGCGCAGAUAUCAGGAAGAACACCAAUGGCGAAGGCAGCUCUCUGGGACGGUACUGACACUGAGACGCGAAAGCGUGGGGAGCCGAACAGG